rnacentral:miRNA from 1 species
CACCUGAGGGGCCUGUUAAAAUAUGGAUUCCCAAGUGCGGGGUUGGCCUUGUGAAUCUGCAUUUCUAACAAGAUCCCAGGUGAUUUGAA